rnacentral:rRNA from 1 species
GACGAACGCUGGCGGCGUGCCUAAUACAUGCAAGUCGAGCGAUGUGGGGACGGGUGAGUACCACGUGGAAAACCUCCUAUAAGUCCGGGAUAACUUCGGGAAACCCGAGCUAAAUCGGCUAUUCAUAGAUCGAUCUUCGCUGCAUUAGCUAGUUGUUAAGGUAACGGUUUACAAAGGCAACGAUGCAUAGCCGACCUGAGAGGGUGAUCGGCCACACUGGAACGGAGACACGGUCCAGACUCCUACGGGAGGCAGCAGUAGGGAAUCUUCCGCAAUGGGCGAAAGCCUGACGGAGCAACGCCGCGUGAGUGAUGAAGGUUUUCGGAUCGUAAAACUCUGUUAUUAGGGAAGCGGUACCUAAUCAGAAAGCCACGGCUAACUACGUGCCAGCAGCCGCGGUAAUAC